CCUGUUUAUUAAAAMCMUGGCUUAUUGAUAUUGAUUUUAAGUYUAACCUGCCCAAUGAUGGAUAAUUAAAUGGCCGCAGUAUAUUGACUGUGCAAAGGUAGCAUAAUCAUUAGUUUUUUAAUUGAAAGCUUGUAUGAAAGGUUUGAUGAAAAAAUAACUGUCUCUGUUUUAAUUUUUUAAAAAUUUAUUUUUAAGUUAAAAAGCUUAAAUAAAUAUAGAAGACGAGAAGACCCUAUAGAGUUUUAUAUCUAAAAUUAUAAUUAAUGUUUUGGUAUUUUAAGAUUUAUAUUUUAAGGUAUUUGAUUGGGGUGAUUAAAAAAUUAAAUAAACUUUUUUUUAAAACUACCAUUUAUUUAUGAAUUUUUGAUCCUUUUUUAAAGAUUAAAAGAUUAAAUUACCUUAGGGAUAACAGCGUAAUUUUUUUUUAGAGUUCUAAUCGAAAAAAAAGAUUGCGACCUCGAUGUUGGAUUAAAAUUUAUUAUUGGUGUAGAAGCUAGUAUAUUAGGUCUGUUCGACCUUUAAAAUUUUACAUGAUC
rnacentral:rRNA from 1 species